rnacentral:rRNA from 1 species
UACGAAGGGGGCUAGCGUUGCUCGGAAUCACUGGGCGUAAAGCGCACGUAGGCGGAUUGCUAAGUCAGGGGUGAAAUCCUGGAGCUCAACUCCAGAACUGCCUUUGAUACUGGCGAUCUCGAGUCCGGGAGAGGUGAGUGGAACUGCGAGUGUAGGGGUGAAAUUCGUAGAUAUUCGCAAGAACACCAGUGGCGAAGGCGGCUCACUGGCCCGGUACUGACGCUGAGGUGCGAAAGCGUGGGGAGCAAACAGG